rfam:Cricetulus griseus cell line CHO-K1, whole genome shotgun sequence.
GUCAGGAUGGCCAAGCGGUCUAAGGCACAGCGUUCAGGUCGCAGUCUCCCAUGGAGGUGUGGGUUCCAACCCACUUCUGACA